GACAUGUAUAACUGUUAGUACAUUUAAACAUUGAACAUAUGUAGUGUGGUUGUAGAAUGGCAACAUAUAUUUUAUGUUUGGUCUAAUGGCUGACUGUUUUGUUCAUUAUAGGAGACAAUAAAGGGUAUGAACCAAGCCAGUAACUGCCCCAAAUCAGAUGGUGCCUCUGAAGACAAUCAGCAUUGCACAGACAGUCCACAGCAUGACAGUAUCUUCCACAUUCAGGAGACAAUAAAGGGUAUGAACCAAGCCAGUAACUGCCCCAAAUCAGAUGGUGCCUCUGAAGACAAUCAGCAUUGCACAGACAGUCCACAGCAUGACAGUAUCUUCCACAUUCAGGAGACAAUAAAGGGUAUGAACCAAGCCAGUAACUGCCCCAAAUCAGAUGGUGCCUCUGAAGACAAUCAGCAUUGCACAGACAGUCCACAGC
rnacentral:lncRNA from 1 species